rnacentral:rRNA from 1 species
UGGGGAAUAUUGGACAAUGGGCGAAAGCCUGAUCCAGCCAUGCCGCGUGUGUGAAGAAGGUCUUCGGAUUGUAAAGCACUUUAAGUUGGGAGGAAGGGCAGUAAGCGAAUACCUUGCUGUUUUGACGUUACCGACAGAAUAAGCACCGGCUAACUCUGUGCCAGCAGCCGCGGUAAUACAGAGGGUGCAAGCGUUAAUCGGAAUUACUGGGCGUAAAGCGCGCGUAGGUGGUUCGUUAAGUUGAAUGUGAAAGCCCCGGGCUCAACCUGGGAACUGCAUCCAAGACUGGCGAGCUGGAGUAGGGCAGAGGGUGGUGGAAUUUCCUGUGUAGCGGUGAAAUGCGUAGAUAUAGGAAGGAACACCAGUGGCGAAGGCGACCACCUGGGCUCAUACUGACACUGAGGUGCGAAAGCGUGGGGAGCAAACAGG